UAGUCAUAUGCUUGUCUCAAAGAUUAAGCCAUGCAUGUCUAAGUAUAAGCAAUUAUACAGUGAAACUGCGAAUGGCUCAUUAAAUCAGUUAUCGUUUAUUUGAUAGUACCUUACUACUUGGAUAACCGUGGUAAUUCUAGAGCUAAUACAUGCUUAAAAUCCCGACUGUUUGGAAGGGAUGUAUUUAUUAGAUAAAAAAUCAAUGCCUUCGGGCUCUUUGAUGAUUCAUAAUAACUUUUCGAAUCGCAUGGCCUUGUGCUGGCGAUGGUUCAUUCAAA
rnacentral:rRNA from 1 species